rnacentral:rRNA from 1 species
GGGGGGGGGGGGGGGGGGGGGGGGGGGGGGGGGGGGGGGGGGGGGGGGGGGGGGGGGGCGGGGGCGGGGGCGGCGGGCGGGGGGGGAACACGGGGAGGGCCUACCUAUAGGACUGGGGUAACUGCGGGAAACCGGAGCUAAUACCGGAGAAUAUAUUGAACCGCAUGGUUCAAUAGUGAAAGACGGUUUGGCUGUCACUUAUAGAUGGAUCCGCGCCGCAUUAGCUAGUUGGUAAGGUAACGGCUUACCAAGGCAACGAUGCGUAGCCGACCUGAGAGGGUGAUCGGCCACACUGGAACUGAGACACGGUCCAGACUCCUACGGGAGGCAGCAGUAGGGAAUCUUCCGCAAUGGGCGAAAGCCUGACGGAGCAACGCCGCGUGAGUGAUGAAGGUCUUCGGAUCGUAAAACUCUGUUAUUAGGGAAGAACAAAUGUGUAAGUAACUAUGCACGUCUUGACGGUACCUAAUCAGAAAGCCACGGCUAACUACGUG